rnacentral:rRNA from 1 species
AGGGAAUCUUCCACAAUGGGCGCAAGCCUGAUGGAGCAACACCGCGUGAGUGAAGAAGGGUUUCGGCUCGUAAAGCUCUGUUGUUGGAGAAGAACGUUCGUGAGAGUAACUGUUCAAGCNGUGUAGGUAUCCAACCAGAAAGUCACGGCUAACUACCUGCCGGCAGCCGCGGUAAUACGUAGGUGGCAAGCGUUAGCCGGAUUUAUUGGGCGUAAAGCGAGCGCAGGCGGUUGCUUAGGUCUGAUGUGAAAGCCUUCGGCUUAACCGAAGAAGUGCAUCGGAAACCGGGCGACUUGAGUGCAGAAGAGGACAGUGGAACUCCAUGUGUAGCGGUGGAAUGCGUAGAUAUAUGGAAGAACACCAGUGGCGAAGGCGGCUGUCUGGUCUGCAACUGACGCUGAGGCUCGAAAGCAUGGGUAGCGAACAGG